rnacentral:lncRNA from 1 species
AUGGUGUCUUCGCCCUGGAGUCCCCCUCGGAGGCUGAAGGAGGUGGAGCUGAAUGCAAUGCCCGCAUUUGUGGUUAGCUACAAGCAAAACAUUAUGAAGAUGAUGGUAUUCAGACACAUACUCAAACAACUGGAUUCAGACAAAAAGGAUGCAAGACUGACCAGCAAGAGAAGAACAGGCAUUAUGCAGACCAGCAGCAUUACAGACCUGCUGGAGGAGCUUAGCGGAAGAGCCAAUGCUGCACUGAUGAUGUUUGAACAGAGGCCUGUGGUGGUCCAGCUUGUUGGAAACUUUUGUGUUCAAACCAGAAGGAUGCUGUAAAUGGAGCUAAUCUGUGAGUAAGUUUUCUGGAGGCCAUUAUGUCUCCUACAGUUUUGGGCUUUUUUCUAAAGGAGACAUUGCUCUGUAUGUGUCUAUGUGUGAGGGAGAGAG